AUAAUUUGUUAAUUAAAAUGUUAAUAAACUAACUUUUUCUUUUCCAUUCUUAGUCAGUUCUUCUAAAAAAGAAGCUUGAAGAACAUCUAGAGAAGCUGCAUGAAGCCAACAAUGAAUUGCAGAAAAAGAGAGCCAUUAUUGAAGAUCUUGAACCAAGAUUUAACAACAGCUCCUUAAGGAUUGAAGAAUUGCAAGAAGCUUUACAGAAGAAGGAAGAGGAAAUGAAGCAAAUGGAAGAACGGUAUAAAAAGUACUUAGAGAAGGCCAAAAGUGUUAUCCAUACUUUAGAUCCUAAACAGAACGAAGGGGCAGCACCAGAAAUACAAGCUCUUAAAAAUCAACUCCAGGAACGAGAUCGACUCUUCCAUUCAUUAGAAAAAGAAUAUGAGAAAACCAAGAGUCAAAGAGACAUGGAGGAGAAAUACAUCGUUAGUGCCUGGUACAAUAUGG